rnacentral:lncRNA from 1 species
ACUCGUGGGCAGGAAGCAAGGGCGGACCCCGAGAGAUGACUGAUUGUGGGGGUGGGGACCGUCUGCUCCUCCUAAUGGCUGGGGACCGUGCACGUCUGCGCGGGCCGGACCUGCUCUUCUCGGGAACUUGCGCGGGAGGAGGCCCGGAGCUGCGCCGCUUUACCCUCUGCUCCCCGGUGCCUAAAACGCACACGCAUCAAAGUCACAGGACGAGUUAGAGGAGAAAGGCAGAGGGAGAUUUGAAACACAGAGGAGGUGAUGAGAAGACACAGCAGAAGAUAUCUGAAGACUGGAAAGAAUGCUGCAACCAACAGGAGAAGGAAAAGACAGAAAUGUGUUUUCCAUUUGGAGCAUCCAGAGGGAGCACAACCAUAUCAACACCUUGAUUUUGAUCCAGUGACAUUGAUUUUGGACUUGUGGCCUCCAGAACUUUUAGAGAAUAAAUUUGCAUUGUUUUAAGCCAACAGGUUGGUGGAAAUUUUUUACAGCAGCCACAGGAAGCAAACACAGACUCCUAACUGGUGCUUAGUCCUAGAAUAUCAGUUUCUGUUCCACUUCUGGAUCUCAUAAUUGCAUCUCAGACAUCAACACUGACUUCAUAUUCUUAAUGCACCAAUUCUACCAUUUCUUCAGGCUGCAAACAGAGAAAAACUUAUUUAAGCAUUCCAGAAUUGACCCAAUAGAAGACUCUCCAGAAAAGACUGCAUGGUCUCUGAAGCAGCAUGAUCAGCAUGACUGGCUGCAUCUGGGCUCCACCGUUUGCCACUUCAGACAGGUCCUUAGCCUCUUAGAGGUUCAUUUUCCUUGCUGUAGCCCGGAGUAAGAAUGUUUAGCCUACAAGAUUUAUUUUGAGGCAUCAAUGAAUCACUAUGUGAGCCUCACACAGUGUCUGGCACUGAUAUUACAAAAUAUGGUUGAUCUUGCCAUCCUUGUUAUUGUCCUGGUGGGGAUUCCUCUCUGUUGAAGAUACGGAGCCUCUAAAAAUGAGUGGCAGAGGCUCCCAGCUCAGGAUCCUUGUCCAGGUCCUAAAGAUCCUCCACUCUGCUUGUCACUCUGUUCAUUAUGUUUGCAUGGCCACCACGGUCAACACUACUGCGGCCUACCUCAAGUUCUCAUGCCUCACUCUCUGAGCUCAUGAGGACACAAGGAUCCUUUGGCAACACAUUAACUACACUCUGUGGCCAUCCCUUGACUUCUGAGAGGAUGUUUCCCUCCUCUCAAUCAAAAGCUCUCUUCCCUCCUGGGCAAGAUCCUUGCAUGCACCCAGCACCCUCACACCUGGUGCCCUCACACCCAGCACUCUCACACGUGGUGCCCUCACACCCAGCACCCUCACACCCAGCACCCUCACACCUGGUGCCCUCACACCCAGCACCCUCACACCUGGUGCCCUCACACCCAGCACCCUCACACCUGGUGCCCUCGCACCCAGCACCCUCACACCUGGUGCCCUCGCACCCAGCACCCUCACACCUGGUGCCCUCGCAACCAGCACCCUCACACCUGGUGCCCUCACACCCAGUGCCCUCACACCCAGCACUCUCACACUUGCACUGUCCUCAUCCCAACUCUGUGGUUCCUCUGGGGAAUCACUGUGGAAUCCCUCAUGGGAGGAUGUUUUCAAAAGAAACAACAGCCCAAUGAAGGGUAUUUGAGGAUGAGAAGCAGGAAAGAAGUCAGUGGGUGGCUGAGUUGUGUCCAGGUUUUGCGUGGCCAUGGAAAAUCAGGUGAAGGACAUUAAAUAUCUUGCAGUGGCUUCUCCAUUAGGAGCAUGAAAUGAGGAAAGGGGCUGUCCUCACAGGCCAGCCAAGAGGGAUGCCUAUGCCAAACAGAAAGACUGACAGUAAACAGAAUCCAGGAUGACAUGACUGAGGUAUGGUGUGCAGGGCAUGGCCCAGGGAGGAGGGUAGAUAAGUAAGCCUGGGUGCACCUUCAGAGGAAGAAAUAACAGAGGCUGCAGGCGAGAGAGUUACAAGGAAGGAGGAGCAGGAAGACACGAGAAAAAUUCAGAUAAACUCAACAUCUCCAGCCUGGGGGAAACGUGAGAGGGUGGUAUGAAGAUACACACGAUGCAUGUUGCUUAGUGAAAGCAGCCAGUCGGAAAAGGCUACGUAGUGAAUGACCCCAACUAUGACAUUCUGAAAAAGGCAAAACUAUGGAGACAGGAUAAAGAUCAGUGGUUGCCAGUGAGGCAGGAGAAUAGGGUCUGGGGGCAGGGAGCCUAAGGCUGAUUCAUGCUGACUUCAUGAACGGAAUCAAAAGGAAAACCCUAAAUUUCCAUGCCCACGUAACAAAAGGAUCAGAGGCUACUCCCUUUGCAACUCCCCCCAACUUUCUGUGUUGCAGAUGAAAAAUGGAAAGUGCCUCGGAUUGGUCCCCUCCUGCAACCAGUCAGACAUCUGCAUAGAGCGUAACUUUGUAACUUCACUUCAGCCUCUGCUUGGUCACCUUCCACAACCAAUCAGACUGGUCAUGGGCCACUAUUUCAUAGGGUGUAAACCAAGUGACCAAUGGGAAACAUCUAGAGGGUAUUUAAACCCCAGAAAAUUCUGCGACCAGUGCUUUUGAGCCUUGCUUGGGCCUGCUCCCACUCUGUGAAGUGCAUUUUUGUUUCAAUACAGCUAUGCUUUUGUUGCUUC